UACAGAGGGUGCAAGCGUUGUUCGGAAUUAUUGGGCGUAAAGGGCGCGUAGGCGGCUGUACAAGUCAAAGGUGAAAUCCCUCGGCUCAACUGAGGAACUGCCUUUGAAACUGUACGGCUUGAGGCCGGGAGGGGGUAGCGGAAUUCCCAGUGUAGCGGUGAAAUGCGUAGAUACUGGGAGGAACACCAGUGGCGAAGGCGGCUACCUGGACCGGUUCUGACGCUGAGGCGCGAAAGCGUGGGUAGCAAACAGG
rnacentral:rRNA from 1 species